rnacentral:rRNA from 1 species
UGGGGAAUAUUGCACAAUGGGCGCAAGCCUGAUGCAGCCAUGCCGCGUGUAUGAAGAAGGCCUUCGGGUUGUAAAGUACUUUCAGCGAGGAGGAAGGCGUUGUGGUUAAUAACCGCAACGAUUGACGUUACUCGCAGAAGAAGCACCGGCUAACUCCGUGCCAGCAGCCGCGGUAAUACGGAGGGUGCAAGCGUUAAUCGGAAUUACUGGGCGUAAAGCGCACGCAGGCUGUCUGUCAAGUCGGAUGUGAAAUCCCCGGGCUCAACCUGGGAACUGCAUCCGAAACUGGCAGGCUAGAGUCUUGUAGAGGGGGGUAGAAUUCCAGGUGUAGCGGUGAAAUGCGUAGAGAUCUGGAGGAAUACCGGUGGCGAAGGCGGCCCCCUGGACAAAGACUGACGCUCAGGUGCGAAAGCGUGGGGAGCAAACA